AUCAGCUAUAUCAGUUGAUCCAAGUAAGAUAAAAUUUCUCCCAAAAACACUUCUUUAAAUAACCUGAACUUCGAAAAAAAAAAUUAUAAAGCUAACACUUUUGGGUAACUAAACUAAAAAGUAUGUGGCGUUACAAGUAUUUUAUUUUUCCCUUAUGAAAAUUGUGGUACUCUUUACCUUUUGUGUCUUGUGUCUUCUUCUAACGAGGUAUAUUAUUUUCAGACACUCUAUCGCUAUUACAUGUUAUUCCUCAAGAAUUGUAACUGAAACUCACUAAUAUUGGUCAAUAAAUAGCAGAUUAGGGUAUAUAAGCACCCCCAAAAUUGGCAGUUUGCCUGAUGCCAAUUUGUAUCCAGCAAGGCAUGUUGAAUAAGAUGACUGGAGUGGAGACUUCUUUUAAGAAGGCCACCACUGGCAAGUCUUAUAAUGACAUAGAAAUGUUGUAACCUAGGGAGUGGGGAAUGAUUUCUAAGUUGGAAGUUGAAAAAAAAAAAAAUACUUUUCACUAACUCAUUUUCAAUUCAAUUUCACUUCAAUUAAGGUCCCCCAAUCAACUGAUGUACAGUCUACACUGGUAUCUAACAAGUCAAAAUUCGACAAUUAUCUCAAAAUUUAUUGAUGUGAAUUAUUCCCAUUGUUUUUUUUAUUGCACAGACUUCAAACCACCUUCAGAUAACAAAAAGGAAGUCAUCAUAGUGACUGGCACUGUGGCUGCAACAUUGUUUCUUAUCCUUCUGUUCCUGGGUAUCAUGUGGAGGAAAGGCUGUCUGGGAGGCAAAGUGUCUGCAGAUAA
rnacentral:misc_RNA from 1 species